rnacentral:rRNA from 1 species
ACUCCUACGGGAGGCAGCAGUGGGGAAUAUUGCACAAUGGGCGCAAGCCUGAUGCAGCAACGCCGUGUGAGUGAAGAAGGUUUUCGGAUCGUAAAACUCUGUCCUAAGGGAAGAAACAAAUGACGGUACCUUAGGAGGAAGCCCCGGCUAACUACGUGCCAGCAGCCGCGGUAAUACGUAGGGGGCAAGCGUUAUCCGGAAUCACUGGGCGUAAAGGGUGCGUAGGCGGCUUAGCAAGCCAGGGGUGAAAGGCAUUGGCUCAACCAAUGUAAGCCUUUGGAACUGUUAAGCUUGAGUGCAGGAGAGGUAAGUGGAAUUCCUAGUGUAGAGGUGAAAUUCGUAGAUAUUAGGAGGAACACCAGUGGCGAAGGCGACUUACUGGACUGUAACUGACGCUGAUGCACGAAAGCGUGGGUAGCGAACAGGA